rnacentral:rRNA from 1 species
CAGUCGCCGCGGGAAUACGAGGGGGGCAAGCGUUGUUCGGAAUUGUUGGGCGUAAAGGGUGCGUAGGCGGCCAGGUAAGUCAGGUGUGAAAUCUCAGAGCUUAACUCUGAAACUGCGCUUGAUACUGCUUGGCUAGAGGAUCGGAGGGGGUAACGGAAUUUAUGGUGUAGCAGUGAAAUGCGUAGAUAUCAUAAGGAACACCGGUGGCGAAGGCGGUUACCUGGAAGAUUCCUGACUCUGAAACACGAAAGCCAGGGGAGCAAACGGGAUUAGAUACCCCUGUAGUCCCUGUCUCUUAUAA